UCCAGACUCCUACGGGAGGCAGCAGUGGGGAAUAUUGCACAAUGGGGGGAACCCUGAUGCAGCGACGCCGCGUGGGUGAAGGAGCACCUCGGUGCGUAAAGCCCUCUCGGCAGGGAAGAAAAGCGAACAGGUUCGCCUGGACGGUACCUGACUAAGAAGCCCCGGCUAACUACGUGCCAGCAGCCGCGGUAAUACGUAGGGGGCAAGCGUUAUCCGGAUUCACUGGGUGUAAAGGGAGCGUAGACGGCGGCGCAAGUCUGGAGUGAAGGCCCGGGGCCCAACCCCGGGACUGCUCUGGAAACUGCGGCGCUGGAGUACGGGAGGGGCAGGCGGAAUUCCUGGUGUAGCGGUGAAAUGCGUAGAUAUCAGGAGGAACACCGGCGGCGAAGGCGGCCUGCUGGAUCGCGACUGACGUUGAGGCUCGAAAGCGUGGGGAGCGAACAGGAUUAGAUACCCGGGUAAAC
rnacentral:rRNA from 1 species